rnacentral:rRNA from 1 species
GACGAACGCUGGCGGCGUGCUUAACACAUGCAAGUCGAACGGAAAGGCCCUGCUUUUGUGGGGUGCUCGAGUGGCGAACGGGUGAGUAACACGUGAGUAACCUGCCCUUGACUUUGGGAUAACUUCAGGAAACUGGGGCUAAUACCGGAUAGGAGCUCCUGCUGCAUGGUGGGGGUUGGAAAGUUUCGGCGGUUGGGGAUGGACUCGCGGCUUAUCAGCUUGUUGGUGGGGUAGUGGCUUACCAAGGCUUUGACGGGUAGCCGGCCUGAGAGGGUGACCGGCCACAUUGGGACUGAGAUACGGCCCAGACUCCUACGGGAGGCAGCAGUGGGGAAUAUUGCACAAUGGGCGGAAGCCUGAUGCAGCAACGCCGCGUGCGGGAUGACGGCCUUCGGGUUGUAAACCGCUUUCGCCUGUGACGAAGCGUGAGUGACGGUAAUGGGUGAAGAAGCACCGGCUAACUACGUGCCAGCAGCCGCGGUGAUACGUAGGGUGCGAGCGUUGUCCGGAUUUAUUGGGCGUAAAGGGCUCGUAGGUGGUUGAUCGCGUCGGAAGUGUAAUCUUGGGGCUUAACCCUGAGCGUGCUUUCGAUACGGGUUGACUUGAGGAAGGUAGGGGAGAAUGGAAUUCCUGGUGGAGCGGUGGAAUGCGCAGAUAUCAGGAGGAACACCAGUGGCGAAGGCGGUUCUCUGGGCCUUUCCUGACGCUGAGGAGCGAAGGCGUGGGGAGCGAACAGGCUUAGAUACCCUGGUAGUCCACGCUGUAAACGGUGGGUACUAGGUGUGGGGUCCAUUCCACGGGUUCCGUGCCGUAGCUAACGCUUUAAGUACCCCGCCUGGGGAGUACGGCCGCAAGGCUAAAACUCAAAGGAAUUGACGGGGCCCCGCACAAGCGGCGGAGCAUGCGGAUUAAUUCGAUGCAACGCGUAGAACCUUACCUGGGUUUGACAUGGAUCGGGAGCGCUCAGAGAUGGGUGUGCCUCUUUUGGGGUCGGUUCACAGGUGGUGCAUGGCUGUCGUCAGCUCGUGUCGUGAGAUGUUGGGUUAAGUCCCGCAACGAGCGCAACCCUUGUUCACUGUUGCCAGCACGUUAUGGUGGGGACUCAGUGGAGACCGCCGGGGUCAACUCGGAGGAAGGUGGGGAUGACGUCAAGUCAUCAUGCCCCUUAUGUCCAGGGCUUCACGCAUGCUACAAUGGCUGGUACAGAGAGUGGCGAGCCUGUGAGGGUGAGCGAAUCUCGGAAAGCCGGUCUCAGUUCGGAUUGGGGUCUGCAACUCGACCUCAUGAAGUCGGAGUCGCUAGUAAUCGCAGAUCGGCAACGCUGCGGUGAAUACGUUCCCGGG